CAGGUUUUGGCCUGAGUGGAGGCAACGAUGAAACACUUCCCUUUGUGGAUUGCGUUACUAACCUCUGAAAGGAGGGACAACUAUUGGUGGGCAGUUUGGGUGGGGCGCCACGCCCUUGAAAAGUUAACAAGGGCCCCCAAAGGUUGGCUCAGGAGGGUCAGAAAUCCUCCGUGGAGUGCAAGAGCAAAAGCCAGCUUGACCGUGUUGUGCCCAAUAAACAACGCGGAUGCGAAAGCAGGGUCUAGCGAACCACCCUGUCCUCUUUUGUGGGGGCGGGUGAUAAGAGAGAAGUUACCCCAGGGAUAACUGAGUUGUCCUCGGCAAGAGUUCACAUCGACCCGAGGGUUUGCUACUUCGAUGUCGUCUGUUCCUAUCCUGGUGCUGAACAAGGUGCCAAGGGUGGGGCUGUUCGCCCAUUAAAAGGAUCCUGAGAUGGGUUCACUACGUCGCGAGACAGUAGGGUUGCUUCUCCGUGGGAGUGCACGAUGUCUGAGGGAAGGAGCCUUUAGUACGAGAGGAACGGGGGUUCGUGGCUUCUGGUUUACCGGUUGUCUGGCAAGGCACGCCGGGUAGCCACGCCAUACGCGGAUAAAAGCUGAAAGCAUCUAAGCUUGAAGCCGCCCCUGAAAAUAGACAUCGUUUUCAGGUCUCUCCUAAAAGAGGAGAUUGAUAGAGCUGGGAUGUAAGUAGCCAAGCUUGCGAGGUAUUCAGUCCACAGUUACUAAACGGUCGAAUUCACAAUC
rnacentral:rRNA from 1 species